rnacentral:lncRNA from 1 species
GCUGACACCACUUGAAGAUAAGCCCGUUCCUCUCUCUGGUAUAUUCUUUGCUUAAUAAAUCUUGUGGGGUGGUUAUUUGUGUGUCUCAUCCAAUUCUUUGUUCAUAACACCAAGAACCUGGAACUCCCAACUUCCAAUCUGGUAACAUAUUUUGGUGAGCCAGCCAGGAGGGUCAAGCCUGCAAUACCUAAAGCUCCAGACCUGGAACCCAAAGCUCCCAUCAGUCGCUACCCUGUGAACCUGUGGAGGAUCUGAAGUACCUGUUUAAAAGGCAUCCAAAAGAUAGAAUCUAUCAAGCUACAAAUGGCUAUGUUGCCUGAAGCCCCAGACAUCAUCCUACAAGAAAUAAGUCCAGACUUCUUAAUUUCCCCCUGGAUAGAGCAGGGUGAUACUGUGGCCUGGGUGAAGACAUCGUAUCCUCUGUGUGUAACAGUGAUA